AGAGCAGCUAAUGGAGAAGGAUUUUCGAAAAAUACAUGAUGUCUCAGAUCUCAAAAGCUGGGGGGGAGACAUCCCGGACUGGGUGAAGAGAGCAAUGCCCUGCAGGGGUGAGUCUUGGUGAAUCAAAGGCUACAGAGGCAGAAAUACUACAGGAAAAAAAUCUGUUGCUCACUUGGAUAUUCUCCAGACCUUUUGAGACUACCUAGAGCUCCUCAAUUUUGAAUCAUUCUGUGACCGUUUGUGUCUGGGUUAUUGCUCCUAAAGGCCCCUUAGGAGAAAUAUUGAGAUGAAGUUAGAGACUUCUGAGACAUAUAUAGGACACGAAGUUGAAUUGAGAUUAUCGUUUUAGCAGUAUUCGAGAAGUAUGAUCAGCAGAGGUCUCAUCAUUGUAUACCGUUGAGCUCCUUCUUGCCUCUUAUUUUAAAGGAGCAAUAAUGAUAAGUUCCUGAGACAAGUUUUGAGACUUUAAUUAGAGUAAUGCUCUUUGUCUCAGGUAAUCAUAUCAGGAAUAUCUAAGUAUGUGUCACGCCCUGACCGUAGAGAUCCUUAUUAUUCUCUAUUACAUUUACAUUUUAGUCAUUUAGCAGACGCUCUUAUCCAGAGCGACUUACAGUAGAGUGCAUACAUUUUAUUACAUUUUUAAAUACUCUAUGUUUGAUUAGGUCAGGGUGUGACUCGGGUGGGGAAGUCU
rnacentral:lncRNA from 1 species